AGCGAUGAUGAACUACUCCCGGCUGAGCUGUGAUGAACCACCUACCGGCUGAGG
rnacentral:ncRNA from 14 species